UACGUAGGGCGCAAGCGUUGUCCGGAAUUAUUGGGCGUAAAGAGCUCGUAGGCGGUCUGUCGCGUCUGCUGUGAAAACGCGGGGCUCAACCCCGCGCCUGCAGUGGGUACGGGCAGACUAGAGUGCGGUAGGGGAGACUGGAAUUCCUGGUGUAGCGGUGGAAUGCGCAGAUAUCAGGAGGAACACCGGUGGCGAAGGCGGGUCUCUGGGCCGUUACUGACGCUGAGGAGCGAAAGCAUGGGGAGCGAACA
rnacentral:rRNA from 1 species